GCCGGCGUAGCUCAGUGGCAGAGCGAGGGUCUCAUAAUCCCUAGGCCGUGGGCUCGAUUCCCCCCGCCGGCA
rnacentral:tRNA from 1 species